GCACUGCUGAGGUGUCCCACAUAAAAGGACGAAACAGCUGUCCAGUGC
rnacentral:hammerhead_ribozyme from 1 species